rnacentral:lncRNA from 1 species
CAUGAGAUUGUGGGAGCUAUACAAUCUAGUUGCUAUACUUGUGGAGUUCGACAUGGACUCACUCUUGCUAUCUCCCCCACCCUUCAGGAGAAGUUUAGGCUUGCGAUCAACCAGUCAGUUGGAUCCGGUAGAGUGAAGUUAAUACCCGAAGUUUGGAGUUGUUUAUCCGAUGUUUGCUAUCAAAGGUUAUCUCUUUUAUACUAAGUGCGUUAUAUUUUUUUGCAUUGUCUUUUGAUAUUACCCCUUAUUUGUAGCUAUAUGUGAGAUUUAACCUCUAAGACUCACAUAUGGUGCAUAUCUGGUUUUGUCCUUAAAAUCGGGUAUUACAAAGUGGUAUCAGAGCAAUGCUGACUGUAGGACGCAAGCCUAGUUAGAAAUUGGUCGUCUUAAGGUUUUGAAAUUGCUAUAAAAUUCUUGCUCUACAAACCUUGGUAUUUUCGUCUAUACUAUAUCUCUAUCCUUGCUAUUUGUCUCUACCUUGUUGCUUAGUUUAAAAGUACUUGUUCUCAUCUUCACUCCUUGAUUUGAUAUGCUUUUAGAACUUUUUCUUACCACCUUCUGGCAUCGUUGGAAUAGGUGUUUUAAGAUAUCUACCCUUACUAUGAAGAGAACGAUAGUAUCGCAAAUUGAGUGAAGUGUGCUUAGUUGGUUUGUUAUUAUGCUUAUGCUUGAUUUGGAUCUUUGUAAUGAUUGCAAUGAUCUUGUGGGAUUUCUCCACAAUUUCAUUAGUUUAUAGACCUAAGGCAUAAGGAUUAAUGAAAUAAGUAGUUGGGUUUGGCUAUCUCUUGUUCCUAUCCCUUGCUGAUUUCUGGAGCAGUCUGCGAUGAUUCUGGUGUACCUCAAGUUUUGAUCGUGCAAAGUAUAUCAACUUUUUCUGGGAACAACUAGACUUCAAGAUCUUUCUCUGACCGCAAGAAUCACCCCCAUAUCUAUUUUGGAAUUGGAGUUAUGAAAAUCACAAGUUGAUGCAGCUGCGCUGUCAAGAAUCUGUACCAGUUUCGGUUGCUUACUGUUUUAGACAUAUAUAACUAUAGAAUUUGGAAAAGUAUUCUAUAGAAAAUUUGUAGACAAUUUUCUAUUCUUUCCAACGGUAUAAGCUGGAACUUAUUUGGAUAAGUAGAACUUGAGAUUAUGAUACUUAUACUCGGAUGUUUCUGUUCUGCUUCAAAAUCUGGACAGAUCUGGUAUUUCUAAUUUUUCAGCCAAGUUAAAGACAGAAUCUGGGAAAACGUGGUAUACGAAACUUGUAGAGAAUUUCCCAACCUUUUCAAAAAUGUAAGGAUCAUCUCCAGAUGAGUUAAGGAGCUCUAGAUAUAACUUCUGGAAGUUACUGCACCUUUGCUGAGACAUUAUCAGGAAGGAGAUUAUGUUUGGUUGUUUUACCUAAGCUUAAAGACAGAACCUAAGGAGGUCUUCUACAUGAAAGUGGUAGAGAAUUUCAUAAGUUUUCUAACGGUAUAAGCUACAACUCUAUUGGAUUAACAUAAUAAGAGUUAUACUUGUUUUACUACGCUGGUGUUUUCAUAUCACGAGAAGAUUUCAGGAUACCUGUUUGUUCUCUUGCACCUAAGUUCUUUGGGAUGUCAGGAGUUCUCAAUGUUAGUUAACUUGUCUGAAAAACAUGCAAGCUACCUUUCUUGUGCCCUAGUUGACUUUUCAUAAGGGGGGUAGCCUAGUUAAAGAAGUUACAAGGAGAAUGAUUGGUUAAUGUUGGAUCAUAUGUUAGGAUCACAAAUGUUUGGUGAAUUUGGUUUUGUUCCAAGGUAUCAACCCACUUGGAGAAUAUAAUUGGAGGUUUAUGUCAUUACUGAUACUCACAGACUAAGAGUUGCGUAUGAAGAUCAGAUGAUACCAAAUUCUACAAAGCUUUAUGUACAAAGUGAGAGUGAACAACUUAACUGUGAUAAACUGUGAUAAAGGUACUAACAAUUGGAACUUAGUCAUGAAGCCAACCUUGGAUCAAGAGACUCGGUACAACAAAUUUUAAAGACUAUAUGAUGUGUAGCAUUUAAAAAGGUUAUGAGGACUAGUCCCUAAUGUCUCCCCAAUCAAUCUCAUCUUAAGGGGGUAGCCUAGAUAAGAAGGUUGCUAAAUGAAGGUUCCAUGCGUUCUAGUACCUUAGUUGGAAGUAUCUUUUAUGCCUCUGGAUGAGAAGUCAAUAUCAUGUGUAGGUAUUACCCUUGUUUGAGCUAUGAGUAAAAAAAAAACCUUAUCUAUACAAUGUGCACUACUGAACUCUUGGAAACAAUUGAGGGAGAUGUUCGGAGUGACGAAAGCAAUGGAAUGGCUACUAAGGAGCUACUCGAGGAAGUGAAUAAGGUUCAAAAGUGGAGUGUCCAUGUUUCUUUGAUCACCAUCUUUCGAAUCUCGAGGACGAGAUUCAUCUUAAGGGGGGUAGAAUUGUAACACCCUAAAAUUUGCUCCUUUCAAAAUAGAUGAAAAUCGAUUUAGUUUUGUAUUUUUUUUUUGUGCUCAUGAAAAUAUAGGAAAAAAAUAAUAUUUUUCAUUAGAUUAAAGUUUAUCAUAAGGCUUAGCAACAUGGUUGUGUAUACAUGCUGAUGCAUAUGAUUUUGGGUGAUGUCUGCUUAUUGCUCCUUUGUGUGUUGAUAGUAAGAAAAAUAUUUAAAAUACAUUUAGUAGAUCGAUCUUCCUUAUUCGUAUUUAUCUUUUUCUACAAUCAAAUUCCUUGUCUCUUAGCUCAAGAUUUCGGUCAGGGUCUCUCAGAAUCUUUUCUUUCAAACCUAAGUCACUCGUUUGAGUUUCUCGUCCAUUAAGCAAUAUCUACAAACUUCUCGGGUAUUUUUCUAGCCUUUUCUAUGAGCAUAAAUCUAAUUUUAGAUGCCCCAAAUUAUCUCAUCAUAAGCUCCAAAUACUUUAUUUGGAUUCCUCAUGUUCUAUAAUAUCUCUGAGAAUUUUUCCCAAAUUUUCGAAGCUUUCGGAGUAUUUUUCGUGGCUUAACUACUAAUUAUGAACUUUUCUAGAAUUAUUUUAUCCAUGAAAAUAAUUAAUUUCGAAAAUAAUAAUUUCUUCAUUUUACUCAAAUCCAACGUCAUCAUGAUUCAAAGACCAAAUGUUUUAUUUACUAAUGGGCUUUAAUAAUUAAUUAGGCCUAUUAGUAAAGAUGAAGGUUGCAAAUCAAUUAGUACCAUAUCGCUAGUUGACGUGGAGCUGUGGAGUUUCUCUCCCUAUAUAUUUGUACCAACCCUUAGGUUGAGCACACCAAAACUACCAUAUGAGGAGCCUCUAGUUUGGGAAAUCUCUCGUGUAGUAAAUUAAAUUUUUUUCAUCAGUCCUCGACCUCGGCUGCUCAUCUUGUCAAAGUCCAUCCUGUCUUCUUCAGCCAUGCCUAAUCAUCAACGUUACCCAUUCAUAAUUGAUCGUUGGUAAGCAUCUCAUGUUAUCCUUUCUCUCUGUUAAUUGCACCAUGCCCUGCUGUCACCAUUUAAUUUAACUCUGUGCUGCAGCCCACUAUCGCCUAACCGUUGCCCUUGCUGUAUUGUUUCUCGCCGGCGACCACCAGAGCCACGCCGUGUGUUUGCGCCUUCCAGCAAGUCAUGCAUGUUUGCCUAUGUGCUUCACUGGCUUGAUCAACACGUCAUCCGCACCUUGGUAUUAGUUCUUCUACAAUAUAUCAUUCUUUAUGCCUCCAUGCACUCAUUCAUGACAUUUAAUAUUCAGUCCAUCAAUCAUGAAUUAGCUUAUAAAAUUUCAUGUGCAGCAACGUAUUAUCUCUCCUUUACUUUGCCCCAUAAAUAAAUUCCUAAAGCUUUAAUCUCACGGUUUCCUUGUUUUAGCUAUAAUUCCAUCUCCUGAUGCUGCGUUAAGAUUGUAUCAACGUAGAUCAUGAGUUAGCCGCAAUAACCUCUCGUAUGUUAAUUUAUUAACUUGACUAGUGUGCAUGUAGCUGGUUUUUUUUAAUUUUAAAAAGCGACACAAGUGUUACCCUCUAGUAUUUUUAUAAUGCGAUUAAUUAAUUACCUUUCUAUAUAAAAUCUUAGAAAAUUCAUAUCUCCUCCGUUUUAGCUUCGAUUUUCGUGAUCUUUACGUCCGCGAGAUCGUAGCGCUGCGUAGAAUCUUUUUAUGAACUCUCUAUACUGUUUUUAUAUGAUUGGUGUACUGUUCUAAUUGUAGUCUUGUUUGCUUCGUGUAUGUUGUCUCUGAUUGUUUGUGUGUUGAUGAUCAAUGAUCGAGUUUAGUCGGUAAACAAUUCAUGGUGAACAAGAGUACUUCAGUGAUCAAGAUCUGAGCCUUGGACAACUAGUGAGACCAGCAGGAUAAGCAAGAGCAAUUGGAUUAAGGCAAGUAUAGUAUUUGGGUUUUAUUUCUGUGACCAUGAUCCUGUGACUAGAUUAAUGUUAAGUAAUAAAUGAUAAAAAUGACUUUUUAGCCACUUGAUGAUUUGUCUGUACGUGAUCACCCGGGACAACAGUGCAACCAUGAGGGCUAUAAUGGCUCUGGCUUUAGCUCAGUAUGAAGACCUUUUCUAGCUUGUUAGAGGUUACCCGAAAGGGCGGAGGGGCUGAACCGUUUUGGGUAUAGUGUGGCCUCUGUCUGUAUGUGUAUAGGCUGCGCGUCAUUGUGCCAUCGGAAGGGGGGCUCUAUAUCUGCGCGCAAAGGAAACCUUGCGGCCCUAACAUGUUAGACGAACUUUUGAAAGGCUUCAUAGUGAUCCCUGCCGACCUUCCUUGGUAGUGGGUUAAGAGGUCGACGGGCCUCGGGCGAAAGGGUAAAUCAUGACUCAUGGGUAAAGAUGUACAACCUCUGCAGAGUGUUAAAACUAGUAUACUAGCCGAGCUCACGGUCAGGAGCGGCCUUGGGGACAUCUACAUUAAGGGUGAUGAAUCUUGUGUGUUAAAUAUGCUCAUUGUUUAUUGUUUAAUGCUUUACAUUAUUUAUGUCACAUUGAUCAUGAGAUUGUGGGAGCUAUACAAUCUAGUUGCUAUACUUGUGGAGUUCGACAUGGACUCACUCUUGCUAUCUCCCCCACCCUUCAGGAGAAGUUUAGGCUUGCGAUCAACCAGUCAGUUGGAUCCGGUAGAGUGAAGUUAAUACCCGAAGUUUGGAGUUGUUUAUCCGAUGUUUGCUAUCAAAGGUUAUCUCUUUUAUACUAAGUGCGUUAUAUUUUUUUGCAUUGUCUUUUGAUAUUACCCCUUAUUUGUAGCUAUAUGUGAG